rnacentral:rRNA from 1 species
UACGUAGGGGGCAAGCGUUGUCCGGAUUUAUUGGGCGUAAAGAGCGUGUAGGCGGCCAGACAGGUCCGUUGUGAAAACUCGAGGCUCAACCUCGAGAUGUCGAUGGAAACCGUCUGGCUAGAGUCCGGAAGAGGAGUGUGGAAUUCCUGGUGUAGCGGUGAAAUGCGCAGAUAUCAGGAAGAACACCUAUGGAGAAGGCAGCACUCUGGGACGGUACUGACGCUGAGACGCGAAAGCGUGGGGAGCAAACGGG